UGUGAGAUAGUGUGUGUGACUCAAUGGGCAAGAAUGAGCGUGAAAGAGGAAUGUGUGGGGGUGUGACAGAGACAGUCUGCUCCAGAGGGUGAGCGGGAAUGCGCGCGAGAGUCUGUGUGUGCGACAGACAGCGGGACCGGCCGUGUGUGCCAGACCGUGUGUGUCUGAGCAUGGAGAGAGUGAUUGCGGGUUGUGGGGCAGAGGAAGUGGGAGAACGACAGGAAUCUGGGAGGUGUUGCCAGAGGAUCGAAACGCACUGGCAGCCUGGCGCUGAGGAAGCCUGCAAGCCUCUCGCCCACACUCCGACUGGCUCCAGCUUCCCUAUGCAGCCUUGUGCUUUUACGAGCAUAAAAAUUUCAACGUACCCUCAAAAUAAACAGAGCAGAUGAAAGCUG